rnacentral:rRNA from 1 species
CGCGGCCUAUCAGCUUGUUGGUGAGGUAACGGCUCACCAAGGCGACGACGGGUAGCCGGCCUGAGAGGGCGACCGGCCACACUGGGACUGAGAUACGGCCCAGACUCCUACGGGAGGCAGCAGUGGGGAAUAUUGCGCAAUGGGCGAAAGCCUGACGCAGCAACGCCGCGUGCGGGAUGACGGCCUUCGGGUUGUAAACCGCUUUCAGCAGGGACGAAACUGACGGUACCUGCAGAAGAAGCACCGGCUAACUACGUGCCAGCAGCCGCGGUGAUACGUAGGGUGCGAGCGUUGUCCGGAAUUAUUGGGCGUAAAGAGCUCGUAGGCGGUCUGUCGCGUCGGAAGUGAAAACUCGGGGCUCAACCCCGAGCCUGCUUUCGAUACGGGCAGACUUGAGGAAUGUAGGGGAGAACGGAAUUCCUGGUGGAGCGGUGGAAUGCGCAGAUAUCAGGAGGAACACCAGUGGCGAAGGCGGUUCUCUGGACAUUAACUGACGCUGAGGAGCGAAAGCGUGGGGAGCAAACAGGCUUAGAUACCCUGGUAGUCCACGCCGUAAACGGUGGGCACUAGGUGUGGGGAACAUUCCACGUUCUCCGUGCCGUAGCUAACGCAUUAAGUGCCCCGCCUGGGGAGUACGGA